AGCUCCAAUAGCGUAUAUUAAACUUGUUGCGGUUAAAAAGCUCGUAGUUGGAUUUCUGCUGAGGACGACCGGUCCACCCUCUGGGUGAGCAUCUGGCUCGGCCUUGGCAUCUUCUUGGGGAACGUAGCUGCACUUGAUUGUGCGGCGCGGUACCCAGGACUUUUACUUUGAGGAAAUUAGAGUGUUUCAAGCAGGCACACGCCUUGAAUAUAUUAGCAUGGAAUAAUGCGACAGGACCUCGGUCCAUUUUGUUGGUUUCUUGGGUUGAGGUAAUGAUUAACAGGGAUGGUUGGGGGCAUUCGUAUUUAACUGUCAGAGGUGAAAUUCUUGGAUUUGUUAAAGACGAACUACUGCGAAAGCAUUUGCCAAGGAUGUUUUCAUUGAUCAAGACGAAGUUAGG
rnacentral:rRNA from 1 species